GAUGAACGCUGGCGGCGUGCCUAAUACAUGCAAGUCGAGCGAACGGACGAGAAGCUUGCUUCUCUGAUGUUAGCGGCGGACGGGUGAGUAACACGUGGAUAACCUACCUAUAAGACUGGGAUAACUUCGGGAAACCGUAGCUAAUACCGGAUAAUAUUUUGAACCGCAUGGUUCAAAAGUGAAAGACGGUCUUGCUGUCACUUAUAGAUGGAUCCGCGCUGCAUUAGCUAGUUGGUAAGGUAACGGCUUACCAAGGCAACGAUGCAUAGCCGACCUGAGAGGGUGAUCGGCCACACUGGAACCGAGACACGGUCCAGACUCCUACGGGAGGCAGCAGUAGGGAAUCUUCCGCAAUGGGCGAAAGCCUGACGGAGCAACGCCGCGUGAGUGAUGAAGGUCUUCGGAUCGUAAAACUCUGUUAUUAGGGAAGAACAUAUGUGUAAGUAACUGUGCACAUCUUGACGGUACCUAAUCAGAAAGCCACGGCUAACUACGU
rnacentral:rRNA from 1 species